rnacentral:rRNA from 1 species
GAUUAGAUACCCGGGUAGUCCUAGGUGUAAACGCUGUGGACUUGAUGUUGGGAACGCUCCGAGCGUUCCCAGUGUCGAAGCGAAGGUGAUAAGUCCACUGCCUGGGGAGUACGGUCGCAAGGCUGAAACUUAAAGGAAUUGGCGGGGGAGCACCGCAACCUGAGGAUUGUGCGGUUUAAUUGGAUUCAACGCCGGAAAACUCACCAUGACCGACGGACAUAUGAAAGCCAGUGUAAUGAGCUUGCUGGAUUGUUCGAGAGGUAUUGCAUGGCCGCCGUCAGUUCGUACCGCAAGGCGUUCUGUUAAGUCAGAUAACGAACGAGACCCUCAUCCCUAUUUGCCAACUGCGUCUCCGGACGUAGCGCACUAUAGGGAGACCGCUGUCGAUAAGGCAGAUGAAGGCGAGGGCAACGGUAGGUCAGUAUGAUCCGAAUGCCAUGGGCUACACGCGCAAUACAAAGGACGGGACAAUGGGCUGCUACUCCGAGAGGAAAGAAGCUAUCCCGAAACCCGUUCGUAGUUCGGAUUGAGGGCUGUAAUUCGCCCUCAUGAAGCUGGAUUAGGUAGUAAUCGCGUCUCAAUAGGGCGCGGUGAAUAUGCCCCUGCUCCUUGCACACACCGCCCGUCAAACCACCUUAGUUGGGGGUGGGUGAGGCUGCCUUAAUCAUGGGGUAUUCGAGCCUGCCUUCGACAAGGAGGGUUAAGUCGUAACAAGGUAUCUGUAGGGGAACCUGCAGAUG